rnacentral:rRNA from 1 species
AUACGAAGGGGGCUAGCGUUGUUCGGAAUCACUGGGCGUAAAGCGCGCGUAGGUGGACUAAUUAGUUGAGGGUGAAAUCCCGGGGCUCAACCUCGGAACUGCCUUCAAUACUGUUAGUCUUGAGACCGAGAGAGGUGAGUGGAAUUCCUAGUGUAGAGGUGAAAUUCGUAGAUAUUAGGAGGAACACCAGUGGCGAAGGCGGCUCACUGGCUCGGUACUGACGCUGAGGUGCGAAAGCGUGGGGAGCAAACAGGAGUAGAUACCCUAGUAGUCC